UAGGGAAUCUUCGGCAAUGGGGGGAACCCUGACCGAGCAACGCCGCGUGAGUGAAGAAGGUUUUCGGAUCGUAAAGCUCUGUUGUUAAGGAAGAACGAGUGUGAGAAUGGAAAGUUCAUGCUGUGACGGUACUUAACCAGAAAGGGACGGCUAACUACGUGCCAGCAGCCGCGGUAAUACGUAGGUCCCGAGCGUUGUCCGGAUUUAUUGGGCGUAAAGCGAGCGCAGGCGGUUAGAAAAGUCUGAAGUGAAAGGCAGUGGCUCAACCAUUGUAGGCUUUGGAAACUGUUUAACUUGAGUGCAGAAGGGGAGAGUGGAAUUCCAUGUGUAGCGGUGAAAUGCGUAGAUAUAUGGAGGAUCACCGGUGGCGAAAGCGGCUCUCUGGUCUGUAACUGACGCUGAGGCUCGAAAGCGUGGGGAGCGAACAGG
rnacentral:rRNA from 1 species